GAGGAAGCUUGGGUGACUGUCAGAAAUAUUGAAAGUUUAAGGGCCAAAGUGAAUAUCCUGCUUCUUCAAUUUAUUCAACUGGGUUAGGGUUCAGGCCGUGCCUCGAGCAUUGGUUGCCGUCGGCGAUACGGAGGGCAGAAGCAAUGUCGAAGAACAGUAUGAAUUUGAUCUUCAGAGUAAUCAGAAACCUUUAUCAAUUUAUAUUGGUGGAUUUUCGUAGUCGUAAUACGAGACAAGCAAGAAAAGGAAAAGAAACAGAAGAAGCUUCAAGCAAAGAAGAAUAAGAUGAAAUGAGCCUCCUUUCUGUCUUUGUUUUUUAGUUUUCUUCGUGGUAUCUCAUGUGUGAAGAAUAUAUAAGCAUGCGUUUGAUUGGUAAGGCAAUCUGGAUAAUAGGUAAGCAUGUAUUUGAUUGCUGGGAAAAUCAGGAAAUAAGAAAUGCAUUUGGACUUUGAAUAUUGUGUUUUUAGUUGAUUUUUAAGUGCUUGAAUUCUCAUUUUUCAAGUUAGAAGAUUUCAGCGCACUGAGUUGUCUUACACCUUCAUCUGGUUUGUAGUUCGUCAUUGCUUAUUUUUCAAAUGCUUAUGCUUAUUUCAGAGUAAGAACAAAUAUAAACUUGAGCAAAAAGGAGCACAACCUGGUUCAGACAGUGAUGCCAAACCAGCCCCUUGUUAAGUUCUAUUUUUGUAGCUUGGGGAAGGAGAAUUGAUGGGAAGUAUAUUUUUGAUUUGACCCCUUGACGUCGAGGUUAAAAUGAAGGAAUCUUGCCAUUGUUUCAAGACUUUCCCUCUUCUUAUUGUGGUGUGAAGCAAUGCCGAAUUUAUUUUUUUUGAAUUCUAGAUUCUUUAUUUUCGUCUGGUUUAUGGAACAAGUAGCAGCAGAUGUUAAUUCGUAUUAGUUUCUUUGUUACGUGAUCUUCAUUUCUUAAAUUUGUUUUGAUAUAGUUUCUAUAAGGAGAUUUUGUAACAAGCUCUUCCUUCUGUUUUCUUGCCCAAUCUAGCUCGUUAUCUGGCUGGUUAAUUUUUUUUUGGCUGUCUAAUCAGGUUGACGGUAGUGACAAUAAAAAGAAAGGUGCAAGUGGGUUUCAAAUAAGGAAGAGAAAACUGAAGACCAACUUGAUGCCAUUGGCGAAAGCUAAGGCCACCCAGGCCAUGGAGGUUGACAAAUGAGGUUGUAUAUUUGACAUUUUCGGUUCUUUUGUAGAAGUUAAGUGUUUUCAAAGCAGAGAGGACUAAAUACUGGAACUGGAUGAACAUUAUGUAUUCAGCUCUGUGAUUCCCAAUUUUGAGAGGAAGUCUAUAAUCAUUUUGUCUUCACUACGUACCCUUUUGUUUAAUGUAAUGUGCUUCUGGAGAUCAUUUAAUGCAUCAGCUGGUAAAUAUUGGACUAUU